GAUAUCCAAUAAGGUUACCAUUCAUUAAUUCAUAUAACCAAACAAUUUUUCGUUUCAUAUUAAUUUCAAAUUUCACAAAUCAACUGUAAAUUACGCACGACAAGUAAUAUAUACAUUAAGGAAGCACAACAGAAUCAUUCAACCAUUUCAAUAUAUCAUCAUGUAUUUAACGCUGUAAAUUCAACAAUCAGUUAAACAGAACAAAUAAAGAACUAACUGGUUUUGGCUCCAUUAAUAACCUGUAAUUAUUCUCGAAUUUUUUUAAAUUACACAAAAUACCAUAUUAUCGAUUAUUAAACUUCAAUUCCAUAAC
rnacentral:lncRNA from 1 species